GACGAACCGAGCGAACGUUGUUCGGAAUCACUGGGCUUAAAGGGCGCGUAGGCGGGCUGUCAAGUUUGGGGUGAAAUCCCGCGGCUCAACCGUGGAACUGCCUCAAAUACUGACGGUCUCGAGGGAGGUAGGGGCGAGCGGAACUGAUGGUGGAGCGGUGAAAUGCGUUGAUAUCAUCAGGAACUCCGGUGGCGAAGGCGGCUCGCUGGACCUCUUCUGACGCUGAGGCGCGAAAGCUAGGGGAGCAAACAGG
rnacentral:rRNA from 1 species